CAUCAAUUUUUCUCCUGCAAUUGUACGGUCGUUUCUGCUUUAGUUUAGAAAAGCAUAAAACUGAGUUAUUUUUGCCUUUGGCAGACAGUCAUCCUACUUCGUAGUAAUCUUGUGCCUUUCGUAUUUGCAUACUAAUCACGAGCCUUUCCUUCAUAAUGCUAAAUUUUGAAUUGCUUUGGCUCUAUAAUUUGUUUGAACUGAUCAUUUAAGAAUUUCAGAUAAGCGCAUCCAGAUCUUUUGACCCUUCCACGAAAAGGUGUAACAUGAAAAAGGACUCACGGGUGGACAUCUGCUAUAAAUUACCUAGGCCUGGUCAUCUGCGUGAGUUGCAUCUGUCAUUUUUCUUCCCAGGUAGAACAUUAGUUUUGAUUAAAAACAAGAUAGAACAUUAGUGUUCUCCACAGUUUGAUGGGAACACUUUGACUUUCUGUAACCCCUAGAUUUGGUAUUUCCUGAUGAUUGCUUGCGGUUCUUCUUACUUUCUGGUAUAAAUAGAGAAAAAUGAGGAUAUUGUAAUUAUUUUAGAAUGUUCAAGAUUUAGGUGUC